rnacentral:lncRNA from 1 species
GAGAAUCUCUUGAACCUGGGAGGUGGAAGCUGCAGUGAGCCAAGAUCACACCACUGCACUCCAGCCUGGGCGACAGAGACUCCAUCUCAAAAAAAAAAAAAAAAGUGUUUAAUGAACUUACAGUUCCACUUGGCUGGGGUGGCUUCAGAAUCAUGGCGGAAGGCAAGGAGGAGCAAGUCACAUCUUACAUGGAUGGCAGCAGGCAGAGAGAGCUUGUGCAGCAAAACUCCCAUUUUUAAACCUAUCAGAUCUCAUGAGACUUAUUCACUAUCAUGAGAACAGCAUGGGAAAGACCUGCCCCUAUGGAACUGGGUUCCUUCCAUGACACGUGAGAAUUGUGGGAGUUACAAUUCAAGAUGAGAUCUGGGUGGGGACACAGCCCAACCAUAUCAGAGGCCUUGGAAGGAACCAACCCUGCCAACACCUUGAUGUUGGAUGUGAACUGUGAGGACGUAAAUAAAUCUCUGUUGUUUUAGGCCACCUAGCUUGUGAUAUUUGUUACAGGAGCCCUAGCAAACUAGCACACUAGGCUAGACAAUGCUGCCGGGGACUGACAUCUGCUCAUGUGCACUUAUGCCUUUGACUGUGGGCUGAAAUGAGCCAGUGCCCCAGGUCUGCUGGCCAACAUUGGUUCACAAGCCACCUCCUCCAGGAAGCCUUCCUUUAUCCAUCCAGGAAGAAUAUGGGGUCUCUUUCUCUGACUCUUGAACCCUUGUGCAGAUUUCCAUGAGGGCAUCUUGCAUCUGCCACUGCUUUUAUAAAUGGCUCUGACUCAGGUACUAUUCAGCAGCUCCUCAAAGGGGACCAGAAGCAUGUCUCUCCCAUGGGUGUACUCUCUGAGUGCUGCACAGAGCCACCUGCACUUCUUGGCCCUUUUGCCUGCUGUACUACAGCUUCCCCAUGGGGCUUAUUGUCUUCCUGAGUUGCUUAGGAUUUACUUCCUGGUUUUACCUGUCUUCUCCCACUGGCAUGUGAGCCAUGUGUGGCUGAGACAUUUGGUCCAUUUUGUCCCUGCUGCAGCUCCAGUGCCUAGGACAGGGCCUGGGACCUGGUAGUCACUCUAUGCAUUUUUGUUAAUGAAUAAAUAAAUGGGAAAUAAAGGUGCAAAUAUCUCUGCUGCUGAUGGGGAUUCUGCUCUCCCAGAGGGAAGGUCUUGCUGUUUGGAUGUGCCAGUUAUUCUCUCUAUAAGAUCCACACUCAGCAUUUUUCCUUGCCUCUAUGUUCCCCAAA